UUCCGGUUGAUCCUGCCGGAGGCGACCGCUAUUGGAGUUCGAUUAAGCCAUGCGAGUCGAGAGUCUUAGGGACUCGGCGUACCGCUCAGUAACACGUGGGUAACCUGCCCUAUGCUGGGGAAUAACCUCGGGAAACUGAGAAUAAUACCCCAUAGUCCACCAUGCCUGGAACGGUUGGUGGAUCAAAGCCCCGGCGGCAUAGGAUGGGCCUGCGGCGUAUCAGGUUGUAGGGGGUGUAACGUACCCUCUAGCCAUCAACGCGUACGGGUGUUGGGAGACAUAGCCCGGAGAUGGAUUCUGAGACACGAAUCCAGACCCUACGGGGUGCAGCAGGCGCGAAAACUUGGCAAUGCGAGAAAUCGUGACCAGAGAACUCCAAGUGGCUGGGGUAAGACCCAGUCUUUUCUUGACUCUUCACAGGUCUUGGAAUAAGGGGUGGGUAAGGACGGUGCCAGCCGCCGCGGGUAUACCGGCGCCUCAAGUGGUAGUCGAUUCUAUUGGGCCCUAAACGUCCGUCGCCUGUUUGGUACAUACGUGGGUAAAUCAACCAGCUCAACG
rnacentral:rRNA from 1 species